UCUUAUGGAUGAGCAAAGAAGUGGUUUCUUAAAAUGGAACCUACUCCUGAUGAAGAUGCUGUUAA
rnacentral:pre_miRNA from 3 species